rnacentral:SRP_RNA from 1 species
CCGUGCUAGAUGGGGAAUUAGCGGUACCCUGUAACCUGCAAUCCGCUGCAGCAGGAUCGAUGCCGACGCCAGGCUAUUGCUGACCUAUUCGAAAGAAUUAAGCGAUGUUGAAGUUUCGAACUAUUGCAAUGAAUAACGGAUGAAUCCCGUCAGGCCCGGAAGGGAGCAGCGGUAAGUUUUGAUAUUCAUGUGCUGAUAGAUUUCCGGAAUGGAGUUGGCUGAUUAUU